AUGACCUGCCCAAGGUCACAGCAGUGGAGAUGCGAUACAAGAAGCCGUGCUCAGAGUGCUGUAUGCGAUGAUGCUGAAUUUCCUCCAGAUGGAAAAGUGAUGAUGGCAAUGUGGUCACCAGCGAUAGAGCUGAGAAAAUAUAAUCCCUCCUUUAUAUGA
rnacentral:lncRNA from 1 species